CAAUGCAGCCGCAAGCCAAGCAAUACUGGCAUCCUCCAGAAGCUGGAAGGGGCAAGGAAUGGACAGGAUUCCCCACCAGAGCCUCUGAGGGACCGCAGCCCUACCAACACCUUGAUUCCAGCCCAGUGAUACAGAUUUUGGACUUCUGGCCUUCGACACUUUCUCACAGCAGUCCUUUGAGGCAGCUGCUCCUCUUAUCUCCAUGUCCCAGCAAGGAGAGCCGCUCUAAAGAAGGUUGUAACCUGCCCAGAGUCACACAGCGAGUGAGCACUGGAGACGGAGUCUGAACUCGAGCCCCCUGAUUCCGUAACCAUUCCAACCCUGCUGCUGAAGAAAUGUUGGCACGUGCUCCUAGUUCCUUCUCUAAGAUAAGUUAUUAAGUAAAACAAUUGUAUAGUAUUGACAUCUGUAAUCGGAGAAACCCAGGUCCUUCAACCUCCUCAAGAACACUCCCUUCACAGAUCAAAAGAUGAUUGGCUCCUAAGUGUCAGAUGCUGAGCUGAGCACCAAGGCCGCAAAGAACAAGUGGUUGCAAGUCUGGCCAUUAUUUGAUAUCCAGAAAUAAGGCUGAAAGGAAGUCAUCUCUAUUUUUGCUGCUAGGGUGAGAGAUGUGGCUGCUCAGGAGAAUUGAAUGAGAGAGAGAACACUGAAGGAAUGUUUGGAGAGAAUGCUGAUGCCUCUGGACUGCGCCCAGUUCUAAACAAGGAUUAACACCAACCAUGCAUGCAUCUGCUAUGAACCCAAACGAUCUCUUAAAGCUGUUGCAUCUUUCCUCCCAUUCUUUGAGGACCAAAAAACGAAUAAAAAAUGUGUACUUUACAACCAAGAGAUUGUGUAAAACUCAUGCAAUUGGCAUAUCCUCUGUAAAAUUUAAGCUACUGAUCUACCAUUAGUGGAACAUAUGUUUUGAGUUAUUUUCUGAGUUAGGGAAUGAAUUUAGGUCACACCUCUACUGGGUUCUUUUUUGUUCAUUGAAUAAUAUAUACAUGUUUAUAAAUGUGCUUUUUAUGUAUAUGUUAUGAGUAUGUUUUCUAGAUAUGUGUUAAAAUUUAUUUAUUACAUAAGCCAGCCAUGGUGAUCUAGUGGUUAAUAUUCAGCAUUCUCACCACCAGGGCCUGGGUUCUUUUCCCAGUCAGGGAACCUUACCACCCUUCUGUCGGUUGUCAUACUGUACUGACUGUGUGCUGCUGUGAUGCUGAAAGCUAUGUCACUGGUAUGUCAAAUACCAGCAACGUCACCCAUAUUGGACAGGUUUCAAUGGAGCUUCCAGACUGAGACAAACUAGGAAGAAUGACCUGGCCACCCACUUCUGAAAAAAUUGGGCAUGAAAACCCUAUGAAUAGUCACAGAGUAUUGUCUGCUACAACAUCGGAAGGUGAGAGGAUGGUGCAAAAAGACUGGGCAGGGUUCUGCCCUGAUGUAUGUAGGUCAUGAGGA
rnacentral:lncRNA from 1 species